rnacentral:rRNA from 1 species
ACUCAAAUGAAUUGACGGGGGCCCGCACAAGCAGUGGAGUAUGUGGUUUAAUUCGACGCAACGCGAAGAACCUUACCAGGUCUUGACAUCCAACUAACGAAGUAGAGAUACAUCAGGUGCCCUUUUGGGAAAGUUGAGACAGGUGGUGCAUGGUUGUCGUCAGCUCGUGUCGUGAGAUGUUGGGUUAAGUCCCGCAACGAGCGCAACCCUUAUCAUUAGUUGCUACGCAAGAGCACUCUAGUGAGACUGCCGUUGACAAGACGGAGGAAGGUGGGGACGACGUCAAAUCAUCAUGCCCCUUAUGACCUGGGCUACACACGUACUACAAUGGCCGUAAACAGAGGGAAGCAAAACCGUGAGGUGGAGCAAAACCCCAAAAGCGGUCUCAGUUCGGAUCGCAGGCUGCAACCCGCCUGCGUGAAGUCGGAAUUGCUAGUAAUCGCGAAUCAGCAUGUCGCGGUGAAUACCGUUCCCGGGCCUUGUACACACCGCCCGU